CCUACGGGAGGCAGCAGUGGGGAAUCCUGCGCAAUGGGCGAAAGCCUGACGCAGCAACGCCGCGUGCGGGAAGAAGGCUUUCGGGCUGUAAACCGCUUUCAGCAGGAACGAAAAUGACGGUACCUGCAGAAGAAGGAGCGGCCAACUAUGUGCCAGCAGCCGCGGUGAUACAUAGGCUUCAAGCGUUGUCCGGAUUUAUUGGGCGUAAAGAGUUCGUAGGCGGUCGAGUAAGUCGGGUGUGAAAAUUCUGGGCUCAACCCAGAGACGCCACCCGAUACUGCUUGACUUGAGUUCGAUAGGGGAGUGGGGAAUUCCUAGUGUAGCGGUGAAAUGCGCAGAUAUUAGGAGGAACACCGGUGGCGAAGGCGCCACUCUGGAUCGAUACUGACGCUGAGGAACGAAAGCAUGGGUAGCAAACAGGAUUAGAUACCCUGGUAGUCCAUGCCGUAAACGGUGGGCACUAGGUGUGGGUUUCUAUUAACGAAAUCCGCGCCGUCGCUAACGCAUUAAGUCGCCCCGCUGGAGGUACGGUCGCGAGAACUAAACUACAAUAGAAGUAGACGGCGUGAGACGUACGACCGACGGACGACGACGAGGGAGGUAGG
rnacentral:rRNA from 1 species